CGUCUCUCCGAUGCUCGUGCUGCUUCUCUUACUCGAAUAGUGUCCUGCUGACAUACAAAGGCACGAAAGGAUCAGGAAAAGUCCACAGGUCCGGCGCUCGAGGAGCACGCCAGGAUGCCCCGUCCGCAGUUCAUUACGUGCCAGCUAUGCGGCAAGGGCUUCGGAUCGGCCUCAAUCAACAUCCACAUUCCGCAGUGCUAUGAGAAAGCCAUCAAGCGGUGGCAACUGAACCCGCAAGGGCCGCGACCAGUCAUGCCACCGCUCCAUGGCAAACCGGCUGCCAAGGCAAGCAACGGUGGAUCCUCCGGCAUCGCCUUCGCCGGCCAACCCCGCGGCGCUGGCAUGUCAGCUGUCCGCUCUCUGCAGAUGCAGAGCAUGCCACCAGAAAGCGUCGAGCCGGAGAACAUGAAUCUGCACCCAUGCUCAAAAUGUGGCCGUACUUUCAACUUUGACCGCAUCGCCUACCACGAGAGCGUCUGCAAGGGCGACCAAAAGCGUAGGGUCUUUGACAGUAGCAAGCAGCGGUGUGCAGGCGGCGAGGGGGACGACGCCUACGCCGGUGGUGUCUUCGGUGCCCCAAGUGAGGUUCGGAGAGGCCGAACGAAGAAACUGGGCACGGCGAACACCACAAGUCGAUACACCCCCGCUCCGGCCCCACAGACUAAUUGGCGUCAGCAGCAUGAGGAGUUUAUCGCGGCCAUCCGCAGCGCCAAGCGGGCAGGUGCGGAGGCACAAAGCAUGUGGGGCACUGGUCCUGCUGCACCUUCUUUCAGCCCAUCGAGGGGACCUGCACGCGGCGGUCUCUUCGGCGCGACAUCUUCCGGCUACGGGGAUAGGGCUGGGAUGUCAGCGCGGGUCUCGGCCUCUACUAGACGAAUUCCGCCGCUUAUGGCGAAGCAGAAUGAGACGCUCAAGCAGGGCAUCGCAACUGGCGGCCGUGCGGCAAGGGCUAAGGAGGGCGGUGGCAUCCCUGCGCCGAGAACGGGACGUCCUUUCGGGCGUCCGACUCCGCCUUUGGGACGAGACAGUUUCGGCGGCCGCAGCGACCGAUUCGGUAGCCGUGGCGGCGGUGGCGGCAUGGGCGGUGGUGGUGGUGGUGGUGGCCGCAUUCUAAACGACAACAAGACAAGCGUAGGCAUGCUACAGGCCAUGGGGAGAGCUUAACCGCAUCUGCUAGUCUGAGUGUGUUCCCGCCCCUUUCCGCCCCUCUCCUGCUUCCAAGUGUACACACCCCUCCGCCCUUGUCGUAGCCCCCCGCCCCAUCGCAUGUAUGUCUCGUUGCAGGCACAGAUGGAACCGAAAACGAAAAAAAACGUUUUGUCAAGGAAGAGGUGUUACACUGCUGCUUCGACCUUUUAAGCAUGUGCUCCUCGCUUUCUGUUUUCCGUGCCGCAGGUGUUUAGGUGCUUCUCUUGCAGUGUCUCUCUCUUUGUGUUCCCUCGCACGUAUCAGCGGUGUGGAAGGAAGAGUUCGAGUGCUGACGGCUGGCGGUCUGCGGGACGCCACUGGCUAGCUGCCAUGUAGGUCUUAGUGAGGAGGACAGUUUGCUAGGUAUGUAUAUGUAUCUUUUUUCAAGAUAGGGGUGCUCUUGUGCCCACUGGAGGGAGGAGGGUGGAAAAGGGAAGGCCACCCCCCUCUGUGCACCUCUUUUUUUUUUCAGCUCUUUCCCUUCCAAGUACCCAAGGCCUGCAGCUUUGUGGCGUUAGCUUCGCUUCUUUUUUUUUGCAGGUGCGUUAGCGUCCUUGUGUAGGUGUAAGGACGCACGUGUCCUGUAUAUGUGUGUUCUUACGUGGCUGCUUUUUUUGCCCAAGGUGUGGCUUGUCAUUAUUAGCCUUCUUUUUCCCUCUCCAUCAGCGAGUUUCUUUUUUUUUUCGUUGCCAUGAAGAGCGCGAUGUGUACGAUCAUCUUGUGCUUUUUACCUCCUCUCUUUUUGGUGUGUCUGUGCGAGUGCGAGUGCGCGCGCCUUUUGCGCGCACCUCCUAUAACACAUGCGCAUGCGCUCACGGUGACAUCCUACUCAUGUAAAAUAAAACAAAGAACAAACAACAAAAAAGGGACAUGACCCCACCUUCACAGAAUCACACACCCGCACACAAUGAAAGAAACAUGAGUCGGCAUGGAAAAGGGGAAGCGAGGAGUAAGGCGCAGGCGGUGUGCGACAGUACUGGCAGUGACACAAAGAUGGAGGGAGAUGGCACAGCACCCUCUCUCUGCGUCAUCUCCCCUCGUGCAAUCCAUCCGUUUUUCUCCGAUACUUUCAGGGGCUACUGCUCUCUCUCUUUUGGGCUCUCAAGCGUUCUCCACACCGCCGUGAAGGUGGCCGCCUUGUCUUCCUGUGCAUGUCUGUUUCUUUUCUUGUGGUCCCCCAUUUUUUCCCUCCGUCCUAUACAGCUCCACUAUGCUUUUUUUUAUUUUUUUUUUUGGCUUCUGUUUCACCCCUUGACGGCUUGACGUUGGUUGGUGGUGGAUGCUGCUGCACGCCUCUACUCCAGUGGUAGUGAAGCGAUGUUUUGCUCAGU
rnacentral:misc_RNA from 1 species